CAACCACCAUCGGAUCUGAAUCGAACCACCACCGUCAUCACUAUGCUCUACAUGCUCAUCCAUGGAAAAAAGUAUGCAUUUUGUUUAACCACCUAGUUUUGAAGUUGAACAACCACCCAGAUUCAAUGGGCUGCAAUCAAUAGAUUGUCAACAUUUGAACGGUUGAGAUCAUCUUUGUUCGAUGAAGAAGAUGGAAAGAAGGUGGUUGGCGUCACUAAACUCCUUCCUCCUGAGAGACACAUGUUCAUUGAGAAGCUCAUUAAACAUAUUGCUUUCUGUUAUGCAACUGAUCUGGAUACAUUGUGGUUCAAUAAUAAUUGUGCGACGAAGAUUUAAUGGAUCUGGAUUUGUAGAAGUGAUAGUUACAAAUGGAACAUUUUUUCUGCAAUUACAUGUAUUUUUUUUAUCAGUAAUACAUUACAUUUUUUGUA